rnacentral:sRNA from 2 species
UGCUAAACCUGACAGCAGCGAAAAUCCUUUUUGUUGGCACUUAUCGUGAAAGAUUGCUUCGUCGUUCCUUCUCGCAAUGACGACAAAGAAGAGCAAACACCACAAAAAGAUUGAAGCGAAUGGCAGGGCUGCAG